rnacentral:rRNA from 1 species
AUCUGGGCGGCGGAAUUCAGGAUGGCUGGCGUGCCUUCGCGGUGCGUCGGCCGUUUGAUAUUUCCGUCGCCAACUACCGCAGACGUCGCGACCUGUUCGCGGUCGGUCCCUGCUCGGAGGAGCCGUGUUCGAGUUCGUUGUGUGCGCGCUUCUGGCGCGUCACACGGCGAAGACGCGGAUCUCUGGCUGGCCGUCGGACAGUAUGCUUAACGGUGUCCGGUGUCGUCGUCUCGUACGCGCGGCAUCGGUACCGGUCAGCGACGAAUUCUUCGGGCCUCUUUCCGACCCGUCUUGAAACACGGACCAAGGAGUCUAACAUGCGCGCGAGUCGCGGGGUAUCGAGCGUACUUCGGUGCGUUCGUUAUGUUGCGAAACCCGUACAUGUCGAAGGCGUAAUGAAAGUGAAUGGGGAAGAUGGUGCUCCGAGUUCACGUUCCGCGAUCGUCGGUAUCGCGGCCGGACAUCCGCAUUCCCGGGGCGUCUCAACGGCCCGUCGCUGAUGCGGACAGUCGUCUUUCGGGGCGGCUGUCGGUCGGCGACGAACCGA